rnacentral:rRNA from 1 species
GCCAGACUCCUACGGGAGGCAGCAGUGGGGAAUAUUGCACAAUGGGGGAAACCCUGAUGCAGCAACGCCGCGUGAGUGAAGAAGUAUUUCGGUAUGUAAAGCUCUAUCAGCAGGGAAGAAAAUGACGGUACCUGAGUAAGAAGCCCCGGCUAACUACGUGCCAGCAGCCGCGGUAAUACGUAGGGGGCAAGCGUUAUCCGGAUUUACUGGGUGUAAAGGGAGCGUAGACGGCGAUGCAAGUCUGAAGUGAAAGCCCGGGGCUCAACCCCGGGACUGCUUUGGAAACUGUAUGGCUGGAGUGCUGGAGAGGCAAGCGGAAUUCCUAGUGUAGCGGUGAAAUGCGUAGAUAUAUGUAAGAACACCAGUGGCGAAGGCGGCUUGCUGGGUCGAUACUGACAUUGAGGCACGAAAGCGUGGGGAGCAAACAGGAUUAGAUACCCCCGUA